UCUAUAUAAAGGCAUGUAGGCAAUGCUUCACAAAAGUAUCAGUUUUAGAAAUAAAAAGAGAAUUAAACUAUCUCUUCCUCUCAUUCUCUCUAUUAUUUGUGUACUUGAAUUUUUACAUAAGUCCCAUUUGACGGACGGACUCAAUUCAGCGAUCCCAACAAAAAAGAUUAUGAUGGCAGAACACCGUUGGUGCAAAAUGCUACCAUUUUACUGUUGCCUAAUUCAAAAAAAAAAAACUAAAGAACUAAAGUAUUCUUUACAUAUUCAUCAAGUAAACAGUCUAUAACAUCUUCAGCAGCAAAAGCAUCCAGCGGCUAUGGAACCUAACCCACAGAUCUAUUUAGUUUCAGGCUCAACAACUGUUUUGUUUCUGAAGCAAAUUCAUAUGGAAGAUCAUCGAUUACAUCUCUACAGAAUCCAACUAUCAUAGCCGACAUGGCAUUCUCAUAGUCGAUUCCUCUCUGUUGAAAGUAAAACAACUGAUCUUCACCAAUUUUCGAUGUUGUAGCUUCAUGUUCAAUCCGAGCAAAAUGAUUCUUAGACUGUGAAGAAUAAACACAAGCAAGGCAUUAAAUUUCAAACAUUAUCCAAUAAUGCAAUUGUAUGUCCACGACAGUUCACCUUUGACACAACAAUCAAAAUCCAAGAUAUCAUAUUUCCACAGUACUCCCUCCGUACUUAAAUGAUUGUCCACAUUUGACUUUUUUUACUUUUUAAAAAUUGAACUUUGGCCGUAGAUAUUUUUGUUUGUGUUGUAUAAAAUUUGAUGAAAAAUAUAUCAUUGGAAAAAUAUUAUACAACACAAACAUGGCUGAGUGUCUAUGGUGGACCAGCACCUUCUCCCGCGUUGGAUCUAAGUAUCUGGUAAUCUGAUGGUGAUCAAUUGACGACGCGUGGUUUGCAGGCGUGGGGAGGUGCACUGGAUCAGUGAAGGGAUAAUUUGUAAAAAUAAAUGUCUGCGCCAGGGUUUGAAUGCAGGUUCAUAUUCAUCUUCUUCUCAAAGCUUUCCUGCGGAAUUUGUUGUGGAACCUGCUGCGGUUUCACCUGCGAUUAUUCCUUCGUUUUUUCUGCAACUUUAAAACUCAAAGACAACACGUCAAAUAUGCAAAGAAAGGCGCCCAGAUUGCUUAAACCAUACUCCCUGAGUUUGAUGGUGGUCUCCGUUUGGACCGUAGGUGCUUGUAUCAAUGAAACCGAAGCUAGAAACACUUGUGCCCUAGCUAUGGUGUAUUGAGUUCUAGCCAUGGAAGCUUGUUAACGAUUCUUCAAACCUGUUCUAAUACAACUUGAUGAAACAUUAGCAAGGUUAGUUUGAUCAAAAACACGAUGAAAACGAGAAAACGAAUCUCACAUGAUUUCACGCAAACUAAGUUCGUGGAGCAUGUGUUUCAGUUCGCCUUGGCCAUUGCUUGGGACCUGUACUUACUCAUGGAUGUCUCAGAAGAUCGUUUGAUUCCUCAGAAUUGCUUGAAUAUGGCCAUGGCUUGAAAUUCGAUUUUGCACCUUUCUUUGAAAUCCUUGUUCUCUUAAAACCCUAAUGUUCUUCACCCAAUUUGUUUUCUUAUUGUUGAGUAUGCUGGCUAUAUAUAUGGGAGAGAAUUAGGGCAACUAAACUUGGAAAGAAUCGUGAGAUUGAAUCUUUGGGAAUAUUGAAAAUGAAUUGAUUUUGUUUGCAUGGAAAUCUUCUAUUUUGAUCACUUUAUUCUUCAAUCUCGCCUUCCACGUUUUGCCUUGGCCUCAUGAAUCAAUUUGGAUCACAAAAAAUCAAUCACAUAAUUUUGAAUGA